CGAAAGCCUGACGGAGCAAGACCGCGUGGGGGAUGAAGGUUUGUGGAUUGUAAACCCCUUUUGAUUGGGAAGAAUAACUGACGGUACCAAUCGAAUAAGCCUCGGCUAACUCCGUGCCAGCAGCCGCGGUAAUACGGAGGAGGCAAGCGUUAUCCGGAAUUAUUGGGCGUAAAGCGUCCGUAGGUGGUUUAGUAAGUCUGCUGUUAAAGCGCGGGGCUUAACCCUGUAUCGGCAGUGGAAACUACUAGACUAGAGUGUGGUAGGGGUAGAGGGAAUUCCCAGUGUAGCGGUGAAAUGCGUAGAUAUUGGGAAGAACACCGGUGGCGAAGGCGCUCUACUGGGCCAUAACUGACACUGAUGGACGAAAGCUAGGGGAGCG
rnacentral:rRNA from 3 species